rnacentral:rRNA from 1 species
AUUGAACGCUGGCGGCAUGCCUUACACAUGCAAGUCGAACGGUAACGGGCCUUCGGGUGCCGACGAGUGGCGAACGGGUGAGUAAUGUAUCGGAACGUACCUUUCAGUGGGGGAUAACGUAGCGAAAGUUACGCUAAUACCGCAUAUUCUGUGAGCAGGAAAGCAGGGGAUCGCAAGACCUUGCGCUGAUUGAGCGGCCGAUAUCAGAUUAGCUAGUUGGUGAGGUAAAGGCUCACCAAGGCGGCGAUCUGUAGCGGGUCUGAGAGGAUGAUCCGCCACACUGGAACUGAGACACGGUCCAGACUCCUACGGGAGGCAGCAGUGGGGAAUUUUGGACAAUGGGCGCAAGCCUGAUCCAGCCAUGCCGCGUGAGUGGAGAAGGCCUUCGGGUUAUAAAGCUCUUUCGGCCGGGAAGAAAUCGCAUUCUCUAAUAUAGGAUGUGGAUGACGGUACCGGACUAAGAAGCACCGGCUAACUACGUGCCAGCCGCCGCGGUAAUAC